UUCUACUGUUAAAAAUUAGCGUGAUUGAUAGAAUAACCAGAUAAUUAUACGUGGUAUGUAACAUGUACCUUAUUUUAAUGUAAACGGACCAGUUUUUAACAAUAGAA
rfam:Gossypium arboreum cultivar AKA8401 contig_7710_1, whole genome shotgun sequence.